UACGUAGGGUGCAGGCGUUAAUCGGAAUUACUGGGCGUAAAGCGUGCGCAGGCGGCUUCCUAAGUCAGAUGUGAAAUCCCCGGGCUCAACCUGGGACUGCGUUUGAAACUGGGAGGCUAGAGUGCGGCAGAGGGGGGUGGAAUUCCACGUGUAGCAGUGAAAUGCGUAGAUAUGUGGAGGAACACCGAUGGCGAAGGCAGCCCCCUGGGCCAGCACUGACGCUCAUGCACGAAAGCGUGGGGAGCAAACAGG
rnacentral:rRNA from 1 species